rnacentral:rRNA from 1 species
AGCGAACGUUCGCGGCGUGCCUAACACAUGCAAGUCGUACGAGAAAGGGCUACGGCCCCGGUACAGUGGCGCACGGGUGAGUAACGCGUGGGUAACCUACCCAGACGUGGGGGAUAACCUGCCGAAAGGCGGGCUAAUACCGCAUGUGAUCCUUGGGUUUUGGCCUGGGGAUGAAAGCAGGCUUUUGUAGACGGGCUUGCGCGUUUGGAUGGGCCCGCGUCCCAUCAGCUAGUUGGUGAGGUAACGGCUCACCAAGGCGACGACGGGUAGCUGGUCUGAGAGGAUGGCCAGCCACACUGGAACUGAGACACGGUCCAGACUCCUACGGGAGGCAGCAUG